rnacentral:rRNA from 1 species
AGCAUACAAUAAGCGGAGGAAAAGAAACUAACAAGGAUUCCCCUAGUAACGGCGAGUGAAGCGGAAGAGCUCAAAUUUAAAAUCUGGCGGUGUAUUCCGUCCGAGUUGUAGUCUAGAGAAGCAUCAUCCGCGCCGGACCAUGUACAAGUCUCUUGGAACAGAGCGUCAUAGAGGGUGAGAAUCCCGUCCUUGCACUGGACUCCCGGUGCUUUGCGUUGUGCUCUCAACGAGUCGAGUUGUUUGGGAAUGCAGCUCAAAAUGGGUGGUAAAUUCCAUCUAAAGCUAAAUAUUGGCGAGAGACCGAUAGCGAACAAGUACCGUGAGGGAAAGAUGAAAAGCACUUUGGAGAGAGAGUUAAACAGUACGUGAAAUUGUUGAAAUGGAAACGCUUGAAGUCAGUCGCGUUCUCUGGGAUUCAGCCUUGCUUCUGCUUGGUGCAUUUCCUAGUCUACGGGCCAGCAUGAAUUUCGACCGAUAGAAAAGGGCUGGGGGAAUGUGGCACUUCGGGUGUGUUAUAGCCCCUUGUCGCAUGCGUCGGUUGGGAUCGAGGACCUCAGUGCACGCUUCGGUUGUGCUUUGAUGCUGGCGUAAUGGCUUUAAACGACCCGUCUUGAAACACGGACCAAGUAGUCUAACAUGCUGCUGCGAUGUUUGGGUGAAAACCCGACGCGGAAUGAAAGUGAUUGUUGGGAACUCUCGCGAGGGGCACCGACGCCCGGACCAGACCUUCUGUGACGGAUCCGAGGUAGAGCAUAUAUGUUGGGACCCGAAAGAUGGUGAACUAUGCCUGCAUAGGGUGAAGCCAGAGGAAACUCUGGUGGAGGCUCGUAGCGAUUCUGACGUGCAAAUCGAUCGUCAAAUGUGGGUAUAGGGGNGAAAGACUAAUCGCNCCAU